CAAUGGUACCCUCAUGUCUGUCUUCUCCCUUUUAUGAGAUAGAUGAUUGGUGGAUGUUUCCUGCUCUGAAGUAGCAUGGGGGCCCUUGUUAAAUCUCCAUUUUCAAACCAACCUGGUGCUGCUUCAGGGCAUAGGCUUAUGAGCACAGACAGACAUACACAUAUGUGUGCACAGUUAUGUUUGCAAUUCAGCAGACUUUACCUGUGCCCAAUGUGCGUCCCCGACUCCAAUCACUGGACACCGCUCCUCCUUCGUGUGAGGCUGUGACCCGAUACAGGCAUCCAUCCUGAUUGACUCUGACAGCACGGCUGGACACAGAUGCCAAGUUAACGACAACACCCCGUGCAAAUGCAACUUCCUUCACGCAACCACGGAACCCUAGCAAACAGAACGGGAUUCGUGUCACAGAAAAGGCUUGGGUCAUUAAUGACCAACUGUUUUUGUACUCUGAAGUUUU